rnacentral:sRNA from 1 species
AUUUUAAUUUAAAAAUGCAACGAAACAAAGGUAGGGUAAGAACGUCUAUGGGAUAGACGUUCCGUGCGUUUAGGGGCAGACAGACUGUCUAUGGGAUAGACGCUCCGCACUCAUUGAGUUAAUUGAGAUGGGUCAGGUAAACUUUUUACUAUUUUAUUUUUUUUAAUUCCCAUGUCAUUUUAAUAUUGACAUCAAUUAUUAUCUGAAAACUAUUGUGAAAUUCCUACUUUAAAGUAUUAUUUUUUUGUUGUUUAGUCUUCAAAAAGACACUAAAUUAGGCUCCUCAUGGGUAUCUUCCUUUGUCACUUUGUGAUAUUUUUCAUUGCUUUAAUUUGUUACGAUGGAGUUUCAUAAAUUGGUAAAUCCCUCAAAUUUGUUUUUAAGAUCUUUAAAAGGGAAAUUUUUUUAGUUGGAGGCUUUUAUUUACCUUGAUAUUUAUUGAUAAAUAAAAAAGUAAAUUAUGAAUACAGUUAUUCUACCUUAAUGUUGACUUUGUAAAUGAUGACAGCACAAUGAUUAUUACAAAAAAAUCUAUUUACAGAGUAAGACAUUUGGUUGCACCUGGCAAGAUCAUCUAUCUGGUUUAAUUUUAGACAUGGACCAAGGUUUCUCUCUCUAUGAUCAUCAAACAAAGAGCAUCUUGUGGAGUUACAGGUUUGCUCAGUUAAAAAGUUCCUCAGAUGAUGGAGUUUCAAAACUGACUCUCAACUUUCUUAGUGACAACACAAAACAGUUGGAAACACAUGUUAUCAGCUGCAGUGACCUUCAGACUUUGAUCUACUGUAUUCAUUCAUUUCUCUCAGCCAAACUAUCUACAGUUGAUCCAACAUUUUUAGGAAACCAUUAAACAAUAUACGCAUAAUUCAUUGUUGAUCAUGUGCUCUAUGGAAACAUUGUGGAAUGCUAGUGAAAUAAUGUGACUAUGAAAAAAAGAAUGUGUUAAGACAGUAAUGAAGUAGAUAAGCAAGUGACAUUUAUCUGUUGGCUGUUCUGUUGAUCACUUUAAUUUAGAUUAAAGAUAAGAUCUUUACAUCUUAUAUGGUGUUUAAUUACAACUGUUAUUUUUUCUAUAUCACAUCUAGUUAUUUGUGCUAGGGAAAUUAAGCCAUAGUUGUUCAUUUUGACUAAAUUAAACUGUAAUACAUUAUUAAAUUUAAAUGGUCAAAAUAUAUGUUCAUAUUAUGGCAUUAGUUUUUGUGCUACUAUAUUACAUAUCCAAAUGAAAUUUAACCUUUGAAAAAUGGCAUAGUUUAGGGUCUAGUCAUAUCAAAUUUCAAUUAUUUCUUUUUGUAUAUGUUAUAGGACUUGAGGCAUUAUGCUACUAUACUUGAAUAUGUUGUUGAUUUGUGUCCAUGUUUGCUAGUUAUUCUGAUCUAAAAGCUUAUAGAAUAGAAGUGUUUAUUUUUAUUUUGUACUUCUGAAGCUGAAAUCAUGUUUGCUGUGAUCCUAGAAACAUAAUUAUACUGUGAUUAGAUUCUAACAAACUGUGACACUAAUUGGUUGUAACUAAAACAGAUUUAUAAAUAGUGUUUUUUUUUUUUUUGUCGUCUAUAAUUAAUUAAAAAAAAAUCACAACACUAAGAAAUGAGUGGAGAAAGUGAUAUAAUGUCUGUUGUUACAUAGGGUAUUAUGUCAUUGUGCUUAGAUCCUUUACAAUUGUGUUUGCUUUUGUUUUUUUAAUCAUAAAAUUUCAAGAUUUAUCUGAGCUAGUUAGACUCAAGGAUAUCUUAAUAUUUCCAAUUGAAAUUUAAUUCCUGGGUUCACUUCACCAUGUUCCCAUGCAGUUCAGAAAGGUUGAUAUGAGCUGGGGUAACUUAUGUCAUACUUUAUUUUGGUGCUUUUAAAAUUCAAGGUAUAUUUUUAAUUACAAGCAUUUAAAAACCAACCAAAUUUCCAAUGCUGAUGUCCAGCAGGAACACUUCAAAACAAUAAAAUGUUGGAAUUAAUUAAGUUGUGUUUGAAAUGUGACUAGGUUGAAAUGAACAUUUUAAUUAUUAGAAGGUAACAUCACUUUGAUUAUUAGAAGCUAACAUGUAUGAUGUUGGUUCCCAUUAUGGUUGUUUAGUCACACCCAGAACUUGCAGAUCUAGAAUAUUGCAAGUUUUUGUAGCCAUUACAAACAAUAUUAAAUAGUUUCAAUACUAAUGUGCAAUAAUAUUAACCAUUUUUUUUGUUUUUUUUUACAUACUGGCUUGUAACAAUUUUUAUGAAUCAAAAAAACUUGCCAUCUACUACAAUUUAUAUAACUACUAUUUACCAGUGCAAUCAAAUUAAUUGGGCAUAUAGAGGAAAGAAGUCAAUUUUCUUUCAGGUACAAACCUUUUUUUCAUUGGAAGAACUUUUAGAACAAUCUUGCAGUGCAUAAAUUGAAUGUUCCUGUGUAACUGAGUGUGAAAGCCUGAUGCCUGUUUCAUUGACUUUGUGGAAGUGCUUCAACUGUGAUAUGUUGUAUAGAACUUGGGACUUGCAGAUGUUUGUUAUCCCCAACCUGCACAUCUUGUCUUAAGAAUGAGGCUAUUCAAUUCACUGUUUUAUUUCUUGCUUUGCUUCAGAUGUUAUUCAUUCAUCCAAAAUGUGUUGUUCAUUUCUUUUUGCUAUGCAUUUAAUUGUCUCUUUUUUGCAAUGGCAUUUAUUUUGUACAGAGGUUUUCAUUAAUACAAAGCUAUUUCCUCUUUUUAUUCUUGCCCAAGAGAGGAGUUACUUACCUCAUUCUUGUGUACUGUAUUUGUUCACUGCUAGCAUACUCUCCUAUGUUGUAAAUCACAAAGUUUCUCAGCAUGGUUUGUGGUCUCAUCUAUUUUUCUUUGCGGUUUGACCCUUUUUUUUUCUUGAUCAUUUCCCGAGGACAUAUCUACUUUGUGAGAUUUAUUUAUUUUUUGUCUCUAAAAGCAUUUCAUUAGAUGAGGUAAGCAAUCUGAACAAAACAUAAAAUGAGAAUCAACUAUUUGUAUUGAUCUUAAUGGUGGUAUCUCUUUGUUGAGUCUUAGAAUUUGAAUGUCUGAGCCAUGGCAUAGUCAUAAUGUUUUCUAUCAUAAAGUCACGACUGUCACACUUUUCCCCAAGACAAUUAUGCAUUUUUUUCAAACUGCACCAUAAUUGAAACAUGUGGUUGACUUUUGAAUCAUGUUCUCAAGCUAGUUGUUUAUGAUGUACCUAGCUUACAAAUAAUUAGUUAUAUAAUAUAUAUAUAUAUUUGAAUGUAGUUUCUAACAUAUGCAACUGAUUCAACACUCAGUGAACAUGAUUACAAUGCUGUCUUAGCUAUUUGCAAAUACCACUGAGCUAGUAAAUAGUAAUUCAUUCAGUAAUCUUCAUAGUUCUAUCUGUAGCUCUGAUUUAUUUUAUACUACAAACACUGCACUGCCUCUGUGUUAUAUUUUUGGUGCUUGCUUUUUUUGUUUUUUAGUGAAAAGAAAAAAAAUGUAAGUUAUUUUUGCCUUAUUCACAGUGAAAAGCAGUCUAGAAGAAGUAUUUUUAUUCAAAAAUUGGUUGCACAUUGAUUUGAAAAGCUGGAUAAGCUAAUCAGGAUAUAAAUUUUCAUAUUUGUAUUCAUAAACUUCUUGAUAGGUAGGAGAGAAGAUACCUUUUAAAAUUGAUAGGUAUUGCUAUAAUAAAUGUACUUUAAACCUUGUCAUAUAUGUCUUAUGUAUUUUUUUAGUUUUUUUAUUGGUUUGUUUCUUUUAGCCCACUUGAAUGUUAUGACAUGAUAUAUUGUAUGUCUUCCAUUGCUUGGCAGAUGCUUUAUAGUGCUGCUUCUGUGCCCCUCCCCCCCUCAAUGUGUCCCAGCAUGUUAUUCAACAAGCUCCUACUGAAGGAUCAAAUUACAGUCCUAUUCUCAUGUUGCUCUGUUUCACCUGCUUGCUGUGUCCUACAGUCUUCCAAAUUUAGGCACUUUUAGUUUGCAGCUGCUUGUCUUAGAUCUUGUAGUUUGUUUUAAGUCACACAACUCAUCUCUUUACCCUUUCAUGUCCAAAUUAUUUGAUAUGGUGACCGACACAUACACAAGUUUAAAUCAUGUUCCAUUUUUUGUUUUUUUUUGUUUUGCUUAAACAAUUUUAAUUUUCAAAUGCUUUUUUUUUAUACUUCAACUAAUUUGAUAUAUACAAAAAUAGCUUCUUAAAAUAAAUAAAUGUAGUCAUUCUUUUUUUUUAUGGAACCAACUAACAUUCAUAUUAUAGUUUAUUUGAGUUCCAGUUGUAAUUUUUUUUAUAAUAUGAGAAUAACUUUCAAUAUGUCUGUAUGGUCAUUUUCUUUUGACUUGUCCUAAUUAUGUUAAACUUUACCCACCUAUUUUUUCUAGCUUUUGAAAUUGUAUUUAUUGAUGCAUAUGGGAUCUGCACAAUGUAUAUAUCGUGUAGUUAUCAACAUAUUUGUGUAAACAUCUGUUUAAAUACAUUUUUGGUGUACAUGCCCCUCACCAAUGUUUUUUUCCUUCAGUAUAUCUUACAUUGUUCAGGAUUGAACUCUACAUUUAAUGGUUGAUUGGCAAGAACAAAUCAUUUCAUUUUUUUGUUUGAAAGUGGUGGCUUCUCUUCUAUCAUCAAAGUGACAUAUUUUGAAACAAAAAUUUUAGAUUAAAAAACAAUGUAAGAAUACAUAUUGAUUGUGUAAUUCUAAAAGAAAAGAAAUGCAUACAAGUCUAAUUGUUCAAGUGGAUGUGGCUUCCCUAUUGUCUAUGUCCCAUCUUAUAUGUAUAGCUCGUCCUUCGUGAUCGAAGAUAAGCACAUUUCUCAUAUCCUAUGAACUCGAAGAUGACUGUAGUAAAGUCCAAUCCUUGCUUAAAAAAAGCAGGCUGCAUACCUGGCAUUGGUAGGUUUGGUCAAUUGCAGAUGAGCCUGCUUCUUUUUUCAGCUCUUUCACACUGGCCACUCUCCUUGCUUUGUGUCUAGUGACUAUGAGACUCACAGGGAUUGAGAGCUAAUGCAUCCUAGCUGUGAAUGUCAAUAUCACACUCCAUGAAGGAGAUCUUGAGGUUGUCUUUAUAGCCCUUGUAUUGACCUCCUUGAGAGCGUUUUCCUGCACACGGCUCCCUGUACAGAAGUCGUUUGGGAAGGUGAUUGUCUGGCAUGCUGAUUACAUGUCAUGCCCAUCAAAAUUGGGACCUUUUUACUGUGGCAUUGUUACUGUUUAUGUUAGACAACUGUAGGAUUUCAGUAUCUGGUAAGUGGUCAGACCAGUGCACCUUAUGAAUUUUCCUUAGACAGCAUAGGUGGAAGGAGUUCAGCUUUUUGAUGUGGCUGGAAUAUAAGGUCCAGGAGUCUGAUGCAUAUAAGAAUGAAGGGAGCACUACAGCACUGUAGACUUAUCAGUUUUAUGGAUAUACUGAGUCCUCUCUGUUGCCACACUUGUCCUUGAAGUCUCCCAAAAGCAGAAGUGGCACAUGCAACACGGACAUGCUAGGUUGGCAUUUACUGAUAUGGUGCUUCCAAGAUACACAAACUUUUUAACUUUCUGGCCAUCUAUGAGAAUAUCUGGUUCUGUAACAGAUUUAUUUGGAGGAGGUUGGUGUAGCACUUCUGUCUUUUUUUACACUUAUGGUGAGGCCAAAAGUUUUUGCAGACGUUGGCGAAGAGGGACAUGCUCUUUUGAUGGUCUUCUUUGAGGCAUUUAGGGCACAGUCACUUGUGAAAAGUAGGUCUCUGAUGCAGUCAUAUUUUACUUUGGUCCUUUCCUUAAGUCUUUGAGCAUUGAAUAAACUUGCAUCAUACCCUCUUACUAAAUUAUUAUUAAAUGUAUUAUUGAACACAUUAAGAAUAAUUGUCACUAUUUUUGUACUUCAUUUCUCAACUCUGCCAAUUCAGUUUAGAGAACUAGAACAUUGUUUUGUAGCUUUUGAACUUCAUCUUUAACAAUUGUUGUUACCCUAGUAGUUAUUUUUAGACUUCUUAUUGAAUAUUGAAAGCUAACAAAAGAAAAUUGUUAAAGUUUAUAGGUUAGUUUUGUUGUUGUUUUGUUUUAACUGUCAUCUAUUAGUUUAUUCACAAGCAUUAUAUCUAAGAAUAUUAUGAAAAAAAAUAGGGGAUUUGCAUUAUAGAGAUGAUCACAUUAAUCUGCUUGUUAUUUAAAUUUUGAUUUUUAAGAUCCAGCUUACAUUCUUUAGCAGUAAAAAAGAAAAAUCUGUCUGUGCAUUUUCCAUCUCAGACAAUCUUAUACCUUUGCAACUUCUCAUGUGACUAAAGAUGUCAUUCUUGGGAUAGAACUGCAGCUGUAAUCCAGGAGCUUUCCUUUAUGCUUGUUCUCCAUGUGGAUCUAUUAAUUGCCUCUUGCUCCAAACUGUUGUGUUCAUUUAGAAGAGCUCCAUGUCGCCCUUGCAUACACCAGUAUACCUUAAAAGUGGGCGACCUGCAACUCUUCUGCCUUCUAUUAGAUCACCAUACAUAAUUUCUUGUGGGAGUCUACCUUGUGGCAUUCUGUGAACAUGUCCAAGUCAGCCAAGGCAUCUACUAGUGAUAACAGCAUGGAUGUCCUGGCACCCUGCUCUUCAAUGUAAUUUCUCUUUAUUUUAUCUUACCACCUUAUUUCAAGAAUCUGCCUUAAGCAUCAGAGGUAGGAGAUAUUCUGCUUUUUUCCUAUGUUUCACUACCAUAUAGCAGAGCUCCGAUAGACUAAGACUUUGGUAUUGGUAGUCAGCAAGGUAUUGUCGCACACUCUUUUCUGUUGGGUAGUGACAUGGUGCCCAUUGCCUUUUCUAUCCUGUUGUUGAUGUCUCAUCUAGUAGCACAACACUGAUGAAGCCAAGUUUACAAAAUAGUCAACAAUUUCCAGCGGUUGGCCAUUAAUAGUUAUGUGAGGUGCAGUGCUUGUGUUCUGAACUAGUAUUUUGGUCUUGCUUUGACUAAUAUUUAUUCCAAACUUCUGGCAUUCAGCAGGCAAUCUGUCAACCAGAGUCUGAAGCUUCAUUGAUGUCGUGAAACGGAUAUUGCAGUAGGCAGGAAAAGAAUGUACCAAACAGAGUAGGUGUAAGCACACAUCCCUGUGUGACAUCACUACUGACCUCGAAAGAUGCUGAUAGGGCUCCAUGAAAUUUCACUGUACCUUUUUGUUUUCUCAUGAAAACAUUGAAUGAACUUAAGAGUUUGGGAUGGUAUCCUAUUUUUCUUAAGAAUUCUAACUUGCCACUUCUGCUUACCAUGUCAAAAGCUUUCGUCAAAUCUCUGUCUGAAUUUCUCCUGCAGCAGUCUUAGGAUAUCAUAUCUAUAUUGGAUUUACCACUUCUGAAUCAACAUUGUGACUCAGAAUAAACUCUAGAAAUUAUCACUUGCAGCCUGGACAGUGCCACUCUAAGAGAAUAUUUUGCCAACAAUGUUGAGGAGAGAGAUACCCCUAUAAUUGUUGCAAUCACUGUGUUCUCGAAAAAUAAGAGAAAGUGAAUUAGAGACAUGAGUAGACAAAGAAACAUUUUAAAAAAUGGAGAGAUGUUGAAAUAGAACAAACUGUCAAGGAGGCUCUAGUGAAAGAUCACAACAAUGACUUGCACUACAAAGUGGCAGUGCUUAGAAUUGGAAGAUUAAAAGUAAAAAAAAAUUAUUAUAGGCAUUUAAAAUGCAUAGCUUAUCAAUACUUCCAUAUUGUUUCCACUGGAUACAUCAUAGACUCCAUUAGAAACUCCCCAUAUUUUUAGAAAAAAAAAUGUGCAUAUGAAUUGAUCUAUUUAAAAAUGUUACAAUGGUUAUGCAUUAAAAUAAGAGAAUGAAAUUAACACCUUGAAUACCAUACAGUAGUUUGCAUUAUAAUAUAAAAAAAAGCCCUUUUUGUUUAAGGGAUGUCCUAAGCCAGCCAGUAUUUCAUACAAAAACUCUUUAAGAAGUUUAUAAUCACAAUUUUUUUUAACAGACUUAUGUUUUAUGAAGCACUUAAUGCUUGUUGAGAUUAUAGAAGUGUUAAUCUAGCUCUCUUACUCUUAUUAUGGUGCUUUCACUGUUUCUCAAUGUUUUGUAAAAACCUUUACAUUUCUUUUAACUUUUAUAGAUGGAAGUAGCAAUCAUUUAAUAAAAAAAAAAAUUCAUUUCUAUUUUUUAAAGCAUGGCUUUCCUUGUUUAAAUUACUAGUAAAAUUUUUAAAAAUAUAUUGUAAACAUUUUAACUUUUGGAGAAAAUGUCAGCUAUCAACUUAGGCUUUUUUUUUUUUAAAAAAAGACACUUAAUUAAUAUUGUCUGUUUUUGUUUGAAUUCUUUGGUGUGCACAGUCCCAAUGUUGUUUCCAAUGCUUGUGAUACUGUUAUCAUAUUUACAUGUUGCUUAGGUCUUGCUCUAUGUUCAUUCAAAUUUGUCUGUUCUUAUCUCAUGCUUUAGCAAAAUGUGUAUAGAUAAUCUGAUACUUUACUAUUGUAAUACUAAAGUUACUUAAUUCUCAACUUAUGUAAUACUAAUUGUUUUUUAUGGGAAAAAAAGGAAGAGGAUACUCAUAUACUUUGCAUUUGUUCAUGUGUUUGAGAUUUCCCCAUCCCCCCCAUCCUAAUGUGCCAAGUAUAGCUUACUGAAGGAUAUUGAUAAUCAAUGAUUAACUAUUAGUCUGGCACUCCAUGUAUGUGCACUUUUCUUGCAGAAAUCAUUUUAUAUGCUUUUUCUAAAAUGAUCAAAGCAGUUGUUCUUUCAAAAAUGUAUGGUUAUGUACAGUACUUGUGUUAUUGCUCAGAUCAAUGGUCAUUUAGUAUAUAUAUAUAUAUUAUGCUACAACACCACCAGAAUAAAUGAAAUAUUCCAAUAUUUGUACACAUUUUCCCCUCAAAAGUGUAUAGACCACUUUGUAUAGAUGUAAUCGCUGUCAAGGUUUAUAAUAUUUAUAGAAAUUUGUUAUGUCAAGGAAGGUUAUGAUGGACUCGUGUGUCUGACACCUCAUUAUACAUCUUAUUGAUACAGUAUUGUUUACACUUCACAUUGUUUUACAGUGAAAUUGCCUGUUUGUAGAUCUAGUCCUUACUUAACUUACCUUUUUUUUUUAUCAUGUUUCAUUAGUUAUUCUUAUAUUUGCAUUUGGCUUCUUUUGCCUCAGAAACUAUGGAUGCAUCAAUGAUUUACUUGGUGUAGGUUAGUGUUUAAUGUCAUCAGAUGCAAACUAAUGUAUUAUGUUCAUGUUUUUUAGCUAUUCAAUUGAAAUCCAUUAACAGUAAAACACUAACAUAUUUUUUGUUAGGCAUGACUCUUGCUCCAAUAAGGUUUGCUUUAUUCUAUGUUAGCUGUGGGUUAAAGUUCAAAGUAGAAUGAGUAGGAUCAUGCUGUACAUUGUAGCCUGGUAUUAUUCUUAGUGUUCAGCAAUUUGUGCUAUCAAAUAUAGGUUAGUGGAAAUGGAGGCUUUUAGAAAUGAUGUUUUGAAAGUAUUGUGUUAUGUUACUUAGAAAAAUAUUGACAAACUGGCAUAAAAAUUAAUUCUAAUAUUUGAUAUUGAAGUGUAUCAUGUGUAAAUAAAGAUUUUUUUUUUCAACUGU